rnacentral:misc_RNA from 1 species
CAGACCCCUCACGCCCGGCGUGUGUGUUGGGCCAUCGUCCCCUUGAGUGUGUGGACGGGCCCGAAAGGCAGUGGCGGCACCGAGACCCUCGGCUGUCCUGAGUGUAUGGGCAACCCCUAGACCGCUCCGUGACCCGAUCGGUGGCCGACCGUCAGAUCGUGAGAUCGAAACAAAACAUUUCUUUCCG